CCUACGGGAGGCAGCAGUGGGGGAUAUUGGACAAUGGGGGGAACCCUGAUCCAGCGACGCCGCGUGAGUGAAGAAGUAUUUCGGUAUGUAAAGCUCUGUCAGCAGGGAAGAAAGCAAUGACGGUACCUGACCAAGAAGCCUCGGCUAACUACGUGACAGCAGCCGCUGUAAUACGUAGGGGGCAAGCGUUAUCCGGAAUUACUGGGUGUAAAGGGAGCGUAGACGGCUGUGCAAGUCUGGGGUGAAAGGCGGGGGCCCAACCCCCGGACUGCCCUGGAAACUGGAUGGCUGGAGUGCAGGAGAGGUAAGCGGAAUUCCUGGUGUAGCGGUGAAAUGCGUAGAUAUUAGGAAGAACACCGGGGGCGAAGGCAGCUUACUGGACUGUAACUGACGUUGAGGCUCGAAAGCGUGGGGAGCAAACAGGAUUAGAUACCCUUGUAGUC
rnacentral:rRNA from 1 species